rnacentral:antisense_RNA from 1 species
UGUUCCAGGCCUCGAAGAGGGAGAUGCCGC